AAAAAAUCCCCCAAAAUCCCCCCAAAAUUACCGCAACCCCCCCAAAAUCCCUCAAAUCCCCCCCACCCCCCCAAAUUUCCCCGAAAUUUCCACAAAAUUCCCCCAAAAUCCCCCCAAAAUCACCCAAAUUUUCCCUCAAAUUCCCCAAAAUUCCCCAUAAUCCCCCAAAUUUCCCCCGGAUUUCCACAAAAUCUUCCCAAAAUCCCCCCAACCCCCCCCCAAAAUCCCCCAAAAUUCCCCAAAAUCCCCCCAAAAUUCCCCAGAUUUCCCCAAAACCCCACAAAUUUUCCCCAAAACCCCCUGAAUUUCCCCCAAAUUUCCCCAAAAUCUCCCCAAAUCCCCUCAAACUUCAUCAAACUCCCUCAAAAUUCCCCAAAAUCCCCCAAAUCCCCCAAAAUUCCCCAAAAUCCCCCCCAAAAUCCCCCCAAUUUUCCCCCAAAUUUCCCCCGAAUUUCCCCAAAAUUCCCCCCAAAAUUCCCCAAAACCACCCAAAUCCCCCACAAAAUCCCCCAAAUUUCCCCAAAAUACCCCCAAAAUGCCCCAAUUUUCUCUAAAAUCCCCCAAAUUUCCCCCGAAUUUCCCCAAAAUUCCCCCCAAAAUUCCCCAAAACCACCCAAACCCCCCCCGAAAUCCCCCCAAAAUCCCCCAAAUCCCCCAAAAUCCCUCAAUUUCCCCCAAACUCCCCCAAAAUUCCCCAAAUUUUCCCCAAAUUUCCCCAAAAUCUUCCCAAAAUCCCCCAAAAUCCCCCCAAAAUUCGCCAAAUUUCCCCCUAAUUUCCCCCAAAUCCCCUCAAACUCCCCCAAAUUUCCCCAAAAUCCCCCAAAUUUCCCCAAAUCCCCCCAAAUUCCCCUCCCCACCUUGCAGUAGCGGCAGUAGCGGCAGACGGAGCCGGGCCGGUACCGCCCUUCGGCCUCACCUUCCUCCUCCUCCUCCUCCUCCUCUUCCUCACUCCCUGUGUUGGGGGAUGGGGUCAGAUGUCCCCAAAAUUCCCCAAAAUUCCCCAAAAUUCCCCCAAAAUCCCCCCAAAUCUCCCAAAAUCCACCCAAAAUCCAUCCAAAAUCCCCCAAAAACCCCCCAAAAAAUCCCACCUUCCUCCUCCUCCUCUUCCUCACUCCCUGCGUUUGGGGGAUGGGCUCAAAUAUCCCCAAAAAUCCCCAAAAUUCCCCCAAAAUUCCCCCAAAAAUCCCCCAAAAAUUCCCGAAAAAAUCCCCAAAAAAUUCCCACCUUCCUCCUCCUCCUCCUCCUCCUCCUCUUCCUCACUCCCUGCGUUCGGGGGAUGGGCUCAAAUAUCCCCAAAAAUCCCAAAAUUCCCCCAAAAUCCCCCAAAAUCCCCCAAAAUCCACCCAAAAAUUCCCAAAAAUUUCCCACCUUCCUCCUCCUCCUCUUCCUCACUCCCUGCAUUUGGGGGAUGGGGUCAAAUGUCCCCAAAAAUCCCCAAAAUUCCCCCAAAAACCCCCAAAAACCCCCCCAAAAAUUCCCACCUUCCUCCUCCUCCUCUUCCUCACUCCCUGCGUUGGGGGGAUGGGCUCAAAUAUCCCCAAAAAUCCCCAAAAUUCCCCCAAAAAUCCACCCAAAUCCACCCCAAAAUCCACCCAAAAUCCCCAAAAUUCCCCCAAAAAAUCCCCAAAAAAAUCCCACCUUCCUCCUCCUCCUCUUCCUCACUCCCUGCGUUCGGGGGAUGGGCUCAAAUAUCCCCAAAAAUCCCCAAAAUUCCCCAAAAUCCACCCAAAAAUUCCCAAAAAAUUCCCACCUUCCUCCUCCUCCUCUUCCUCGGAGCUGUGGCCGCCAUCUUCCUCUUCCUCAUCUUCAUCAUCGUCAUCGCUGCCUUCCUCCUCCUCCUCCUCCUCAGAGCUGGGGGGGCUGCGGCCUUCAUCAUCAUCAUCAUCGUCAUCGUCGUCAUGGUGAUGGUGGCCUUCAUCCACCCGGGCUUGACCUUCAUCAUCAUCGUCAUGGCGAUGGUGACCUUCAUCCACCCUCGGUUGGCCUUCAUCAUCGUCGUCAUGGUGAUGGUGGCCUUCAUCCACCCUCGGUUGACCUUCAUCAUCAUCGUCAUGGUGAUGGUGGCCUUCAUCCACCCUCGGUUGACCUUCAUCAUCAUCGUCAUGGUGACGGUGGCCUUCAUCCACCCUCGGUUGGCCUUCAUCAUCAUCGUCAUGGCGAUGGUGGCCUUCAUCCACCCUCGGUUGACCUUCAUCAUCGUCAUGGUGAUGGUGGCCUUCAUCCACCCGGGCUUGACCUUCAUCAUCAUCGUCAUCAUCGUCAUCCUCAUGGUUGCCAUGGUGAUGAUGAUGAUGGUGGUGACUGGGGGAGCCUUCAUCGCUUUGAUGAUGAGGAAGGUGAUGAAGGUCAGCGGGGGAGCCUUCAUCCCCCUGAGGAUGAUGAUGGAGGGGGUCAGCGGGGGAGCCUUCAUCCCCCUGGUGAUGAUGAUGAUGAGGAUGAGGAUGAUGAAGGUGACCGGGGGAGCCUUCCUCGCUCUGCUGAGGAUGAGGAUGAUGAGGAUGAGGAUGAUGAGGAUGAGGAUGAUGAUGAAGGUCCUCCAGGGCCGCCCCCACCCCGAGGAGCAGCAGCAGUAGGAGCCACAGCCUGGCCGGAGCCAUGAGUGACCACUGAGUGACCACUGAGUGACCGCUGGGUGACCACUGACCGCUGAGUGACCACUGACCGCUGGGUGAUCAAUGAGUGAUCGAUGAGUGAUCAAUGAGUGACCACUGACCGCUGAGUGACCACUGACCGCUGAGUGACCACUGACCGCUGAAUGACCACUGACCGCUGAGUGACCGCUGACUGCUGGGUGAUCAAUGAGUGAUCAAUGAGUGACCGCUGAGUGACAGCUGAGUGACCGCUGGGUGAUCAAUGAGUGAUCGAUGAGUGAUCAAUGAGUGACCGCUGAGUGACCACUGAAUGACCAUAGAGUGACCGGUGCCGAAUGACCACGGAGUUACCAGUGCUGAGUGACCAUGGAGUGACCGCUGGGUGACCGCUGACUGACCACAAAGUGACUGCUGGGUGACCGCUGAGUGACCAGCACAAAGUGACCGGUGGGUGACCACGGAGAGAUCACAGAGAGACCUCAGAGUGACCACAGAGUGACCGCUGAGUGACCAUGGAGUGACCAGUGCUGAGGACUGCUGAGUGACCACGGAGAGACUUCAGAGUGACAUCAGAGUGACCACGGAGUGACCACUGAGAGACCUCGGAGUGACCGCUGGGUGACCAGUGCUGAAUGACCACGGAGUGACCUCGGAGUGACUUCAGAGUGACCGCUGAGUGACCGAUGGGUGACCUCAGAGUAACUGCUGAGUGACCGCUGAGUGACCCCUGUGAGACCGUUGACUGACCGCUGGGUGACCACUGAGUGACCGCUGCUGAAUGACCACAGAGUGACCGCUGAGAGACCUCGGAGUGACUGAUGCUGAAUGACCACGGAGUGACCAGUGCUGAGUGACCGCUGAGUGACCGCUGGGUUACCAGUGCUGAAUGACCAUGGAGUGACCACUGAGAGACCGCUGAGUGACCGCUGAGUGACCAGUGCUGAAUGACCACGGAGUGACCGCUGAGUGACUGGUGCUGAAUGACCGCUGAGUGACCAGUGAUGAAUGACCUCAGAGUGACAUCAGAAUGACCACGGAGUGACCACGGAGUGACCGCUGAGUAACCGCUGAGUGACCUCUGAGUGACCGGUGCUGAGUGACCUCAGAAUGACGUCAGAAUGACCACGGAGUGACCGAUGAGUGACCGGUGCUGAAUGACCACGGAGUGACCAGUGACAAAUGACCACGGAAUGACCACUGAGUGACCGGUGCUGAGUGACCGCUGAGUGACCGCUGAGUGACCGCUGGGUGACCAGUGACGAAUGACCACGGAGUGACCACUGAGAGACCUCGGAGUGACCGGUGCUGAAUGACCACGGAAUGACCACAGAGUGACCGCAGAGUGACCUCGGAGUGACCGCUGAGAGACCACAGAGUGACCACUGACCACGGAGUGACCGAUGAGUGACCGCUGAGAGACCAAUGAGUGACCGCUGAGUGACCGCUGACCGCUGAGUGACCACUGAGUGACCAGAACAGAGUGACCAGCACCGAGUGACCACAGAGUGACCACAGAGUGACCACGGAGUGACCAGCACAAAGUGACCAGCACCGAGUGACCGCCGAGUGACCACAGAGUGACCACAGAGUGACCACAGAGUGACCACAGCAGCUGCGCCCCUCCCCCACCGCGGGACCCAAAAAUAGACACGGGGGGGGGAGGGGAAAUCGAGGAGAAAAACCCAAAAAUUCAACAUUUUGAUCCAUUUUUUGGGUUUUUUUUUCACAUUUUGGGGUGUCCCCAAAUUUGGGAGGGGGGGGGUGUCAAAUUUAGGGGGGGGUCACCCCAAAUUUGGGGGGUGGGGGGGUUGAAAUCGAGGAGAAAACCCCAAAAAUUCAAUAUUUU
rnacentral:lncRNA from 1 species